rnacentral:lncRNA from 1 species
GGGGCUCCAUGUGAGGUCAGUGUUUGGGUCUCUUCGCCAGGCUCAGGGAGGCUGCUCUUCCAGGAAGGGCUGCAGAGACCCUGGGAACCGGACCAGCCCAGCUCACAAGUAUGAAGAGAAUGUCGGGAGAGGAAGUGGCGGCUGUGAGUCAGCAUGAGUCAUCUCGUUCCAAUGAGAAUGAAGACUGAGGUGUGCGCCUUUUUUUUUUCUUCUUCUUCUUCUUUUUUUUUUUUUUUGGUCUCAAUCGUGGGGACAUCAUUGGGAAUGGAGGGAAAUCAGUGACUGUAUGGUCGUUGCUUUUUAAGUUUCCAACUGGCGUUCCAGGCAAGCCGUGCCUGAGCCGGUGUCUGCCGUGAGAUCUUCAGAGCACGGUUCCUGGGAAGGUAGAACCAUUAGCUUCUCCCUGUAUUCUCUCCUGGAGGCAGACGAGGGCCUCUGAUGCACCGCGAAACUGGAAUUCUACCUGGAGACAAGCCCACAAAGGCUCCUAUCUGAUUGGAGAGAGCCCAGCUCCCCUCACUCUCCAAGGAAUUCGGAAUCCACACCCAUGGAGUCCCCACCAGGCGAGUGAGAGUUUAGGGGGACCCAGUGUGUUCCCUGUGCCAGACAGAGGCUUUCGUCCAGGGGAUGUGGCACCCCAGAUACCAGAAGAAGGGCUGGAUUGGGGCAUCCACGAUCAGAAUCCAUUUGUAGAUCAAAGAGGCUGUGAGGGGUGAGGCCUCUGGGCGGCAGUGGGGCGGCCUCCAGGCCCGCUGGGCUCCCUGGCCUGACUCGGCUGCAGAGUUUCUUCAGCUUGUCAGCCUCUGCCGAUGGGAGGUCAGUUGGGGUUGCUUCCCUGUCCUUAGCUUGCGUGGAUCUUGGUUUCACAUUAAACUCUAGGUUCAAUGUCACAGCCCUUUUUAUUUGUACUCAGGGCUGCACAAUGAUGAACGAAUGAAAGAUUUGGGCAGAUCAAAUGUCGCACCUUAGCAGGUGCCCUUAUAAUUAGAAUUGUUUCUAUAAAGCAAAUAAAAGCUUAGAGUAUCAAGAGUAUUUUUAAAAAGUGCACUUUGAUCAAAUAUUGGAUUCAUAUUUCUUGUUAUUUCAAAGUUUAGAAUGUGUGCGCACAUUUUAGAAGCCCUUAUUAUACUGAGCUAUUCUGAACCUCAGUGAGAAGCCAAGGACACCGAGAAACCUCUAAGCGUUAUUGGCUAGAGUAUGAAAAUCAAGAGCCUUUCGAUGUUGAGCUCUGCAAGCAUUCUUCUAUCCUACUUGGUCAGAUUUCACAGGAAAGAAUAUUGAGCCCUAAAGAAAAUAAAAUUCCUGGGGUAGAGGGAAUUGGUGUUUUAUAAAAUGGCUGGAUGAGAAAUAAUGUGGAAAAUAGGGGGAAGCCUAAUUAUACCGUGCAGUCCACUGUCAUCACUCAGUCUUCUCUGUGUCAACAAACCGUGUAC